rnacentral:lncRNA from 1 species
CCCUUUUCAGCUAAAGUAGUCUUAUUGAAAAGAAGAUCUCACACACUACCCCAGUGAUAAUAAUAAGUGAUACUGGCAAGCUCAGUGUUCUGUAGAACAUGUUCAGCUGCUGGCUCCGUUUGUGGCCAUCAAGAACAAGGAAGUAAACCUAAUAGCAGUGGUCUGGCCCAUCCACUCCAGGACUCUUACCUACUUCUGGUGACUGGGGAACUGCACUGAGCCGGUGAUCAGCUUAGACGGGAGAAUCUCAUACACCUUCACCAGCGAGGGAAUGAACACUGUUACGGUCCAAGUGUCUUCAGCCAACACCAUACUGCAAGACACCAAGACGAUAGCAGUCCCAGAUGCUUCAGCGUUCGCCCUCGGGCUGUCCUGUGAUCGGCUCGUGCUGUCCUGUGUCGGGCUGUCCUCGUUAUCACACAGGUGCGAGCGACUCGGGUUAUUCUUCCCCACGCGAGGCAGCUUGAUGAGCUCGAAUGUCACGUCCUGACCCUUGUAAGAUGUCAUUUUCUAUAGUAGAAUAGGUCAGGGCAUGACAGGGGGUGUUUUUGGGUGGUUUUCUAUGUUUUCUAUUUCUAUGUUUAAUUCUGGGUUUCUAUUUCUACGUUG